rnacentral:rRNA from 1 species
GUGAGGAAUACUGGUCAAUGGGCGGGAGCCUGAACCAGCCAAGUCGCGUGAAGGAAGAAGGAUCUAUGGUUCGUAAACUUCUUUUGCAGGGGAAUAAAGUGCAGGACGUGUCCUGUUUUGUAUGUACCCUGAGAAUAAGGAUCGGCUAACUCCGUGCCAGCAGCCGCUGUAAUACGGAGGAUCCGAGCGUUAUCCGGAUUUAUUGGGUUUAAAGGGUGCGUAGGUGGUUUGAUAAGUCAGCGGUGAAAGUUUGCAGCUUAACUGUAAAAAUGCCGUUGAAACUGUCGGACUUGAGUGUAAAUGAGGUAGGCGGAAUGCGUGGUGUAGCGGUGAAAUGCAUAGAUAUCACGCAGAACUCCGAUUGCGAAGGCAGCUUACUAAGCUACAACUGACACUGAAGCACGAAAGCGUGGGGAUCAAACAGGAUUAGAUACCCGAGUAGUCC